AUGCGGCAACCACCAGGGUAUGAAAACAAAAGCACACCUCAUUUUGUCUGUAAGUUGGACAAAGCUUUGUAUGGCUUAAAACAGGCCCCAAGAGCCUGGUACUCCAGGUUGAGCACUCAGUUACAACAACUUGGUUUUAUUCCAAGCAAGGCAGAUACCUCAUUAUUCUUCUAUCACAAAGGCAACAUCUCUAUGUUUGUUCUUGUUUAUGUUGAUGAUAAAAUUGUUGCUAGUUCCAGUUCAGAGGCCACUACCUGUCUGCUCCGUGAUCUUAAUGUGGAGUUUGCACUCAAAGAUUUGGGUGAUCUUCAUUAUUUUCUUGGUAUAGAGGUAAAAAAGAUCAAGGAUGGAAUACUUCUUACACAAGAGAAAUACACCACAGAUAUUCUAAAGAGGAUAGGACUGGAACAUUGCAAACCAGUAAGUACACCACUUUCCACUUCUAAGAAACUUACAGUUGAAGGAGGUGAAUUACUUGGACCGAGUGAUGCAACAAACUAUAGGAGUGUUGUUGGUGCUCUCCAAUAUUUAACGUUGACUAGGCCUGAUAUUUCAUAUUCUGUCAACCAAGUGUGUUAG
rnacentral:rRNA from 1 species